GCUAAGUACUGCUUUUGAUGUCACCCGACCUGCGCUAUCUCAGAUAUAAAAUCUAACACGGCCACUCGAGAAGUUCUUCUCCUAGAUAUGGGAGGUCGACGCACGGAGUUGCGGAAGAGAGAUUAAACAUUAUACAAAAGAGGGGGCGAAGCAUAAUUCAAAGGUUCUUUACGCCCUUGGCUUUGUUUCCGACGAUCAAGAAUUGAUUUCGUGUGACUGGGCAACGUUGCCAUAGAAACGGCACGCAGGAUAGCUAGCAGACCGCGGGCACCCAAUCAUAGCGCACAGACGGGGACCCGCCCACUGGCUGGGCGGUAAGAUUUCAAACUCAAAGGCUCGAUGCUCCGCCCCAGAGACUAGAGGCCGCCUCACGAUUGUAGCGAUUUUCCGCCUCUGAAACAAGAGACUAACAUCCAAACGCUAACAAAGCACAUGAAUUGAAGCUUGUGACCAAACGCUAACAGAGCACAUGAAUUGAAGAUUGUGACCCUAUUAAAGUUUUUGUCGGAAACUGACAAAAAAUACUCUUCACUAUAUUUUUGGUAGGUAUUUUUUUAUCUACGGUUUGUGAUAUUGUCAAACCUCUGCUUGGAGAGUAUUUAGACAUUACUUGUGCUACCCCCGAAGAAUAGAUGGUUAAUUCCGAGGAACGUCACGUGACUCCAGAUCGGGGAAACUCGCUCACGUACACAAGAAUUCUGUGUCGUCUAGUAGUCUCUCCGUGCUCAUAUUGAAGUCCAUUUUUUCAUAUCUUUUCACAUAUCCAGCGUGAGGUAAGGUUACUAGGUCACGAUCCUGUUUUGCUGAGAUUGACAGGAGCACUACAGGAUAUAUAAUAGUCACUGUUACGUUUUGACACUGGUCGCUAGCUGAGCACCUCCAAGGUCAUCGCACGGUUGGAAAUAUGGCGGCCGCCGCACCAUCAGGUCAGAGAUCCGUUGUUGUUGUUUUCUCUGAUUCGAUUUGCAAAUAUAUGGACAACCACUCUCCGUUGUGUGAUAAUCCGCGCUUUUCAUUAGUUUUGUAUGCCCAUCGCGGUGCAAACAUUUCACAGGUCGCUACGGACGUUGAAAACUGUCCUGCUAGCUUUGAUGCUGCUGACGUGGUUUUUAUUCACGUAGGGACUAACAAUCUCACCCUACCAGGCUGUAGGACCGUAGAGGAAGACGUUGGGGACUAUGACCGGUUGAUCGGCAUUGCAAAAGAACGCUUCCCCACGUCAUUCAUAGUCAUGUCAAGCGUGUUGCCUAGACAAAAAGCACUUCGAUGCCAAACGCAUCGUUUUGAACCAGCAUUUGGAGAAGUUGUGUAAGGAUCGCGACGUUGAGUAUUAUGAAAAUGGCGAAACCAUAAACCCCGCAAUGUUGUCUCGUGACGGCCUGCAUCUAAGUGCACAGGGCAAUGUAGAGUUUGCUCAUAGAAUUUACUAUUGCCUGAGUCAUUACCUACACAAACACCAAGCAUCAAAGAGGCAGUAGACUUUUCUAUUUACUGGACAUUGCAAAUUUACAUGCGGCUGGUGAUGUUGUUUCCUUCUUUCAGCAUUAUCUUCAUCCCAAAAAUAUGAUCUGUGCAUUAUUAUUCUUGUGUGAUAUAUCAGUAUUGUUUGAAAUACAGUCGUACUUGUACUAACGGUCACCCCUGUAUAGUGGUCACUUGGCCAUAGCGGUUAGUCAAUUUGCCGGUCCCUUGAAUUUUUCCCAUUGACGUAAGCAUUAAGAAUUGUGGCUAUAGCGGUCACCUGUUCAACACAUUCUGGUCCCGCCGGCUAUCAACCCCGUCGAUAGCGGUCGCGGCUGGCUGUAACCCGCUAAGCACCACGGCCGUAACACCACCCCACCUCGGGGUAAGGCCGUUAUAAUGAGCCUUGUGAUAAUUUUCCAAUCGCUACAUUAUUAAAAUGUAAACUGAAAUUAGACUGCAUGAAAUAAAGGGAAACUUGGUUUUGACAUGAAAUUCCUGCGGUCGCUUGUGUCUUUGUUAACGUCUCGCGUAAUUACAUAAAAACAUUUGACAUUCAUUACUACAAAUAAUGUACGAUGUAAAUUUAAGACUGUAGUGGAUGUUUUGAUAAAUAUGUAAGCUUGAGAUGAGCAGCGUUUUUGUUGACUACCACAUUCGCAUAAUGGCAGAGGCAGACAACCCAUGCCGGAAGAAAAUUCAAGUCGAUGUAAACAAAGGAAAGUUUUCGCUACAUUUUCAUGUUCAAAAACGACCGAAAACAGAAAGUAAUUGGCAACUGAAGAACAAUUUUUGCUGUUAACUAAGUGAACAGCAUCUUGGUACAAAAUUACUUGUUUACAUGGUUGGAAUUUGUUGUGGCGUAUGUCGGUUGCGCGAAGCACUCACUGACAACAAGAUGUUUUCAUAUGUUUGAGAAUAAAGACAUCUCUGUUUUGGUACUGAAACUUGUGAAAGCAUGUGUCACGUUUUUUUUGGGGGGGGGGCAACUAGCCGGCUAUCUUUCUAUAGUGGUCACUUGUCUAUAGUGGUCAAGUUUGGCCAGUCCCUUGAGUGACCACUAUAGACAGGUUUGACUGUAGCAGCAAAUGUGAACAAAGGCAUAUCUGUAUAUAUAUAACUUGUAAGGCACCAGGCUACAGUGAAAAUAGAUAGCACUUUGAUUGUUUACGAAUGUUGCUAACAAGUAACAGAUCUGAAAACGAAGUCUCAAAAUGAAACAUUGUGCAUCACAAUACUGAUUUGUAACUCACUUUCAGUUAGAAAGUCUGAAGUCUACAUGUUUGGUCAAAGCUGAUAUCAUAUGCCUGGUCGAGACUUGGCUGUCAGAAAAUGUGCCAUCCUCUCAGGUGCCAUUUUAAAGUUUUAACAUGUCAGGUGGAUGUGUUUGUGAGGCUGUUUCUAGUGUGAUAAAUACAAAAUUAUUCCCCUCAUUUAGUGUAUGUCUUUGACCGUUGACGUAUACAGGUGCUCAGAAUUUCCCAUCCCAUUUAUGACAUUGGCGUAGGAUUCUGUGUCUUUAUGCCAGUUUCUGCUGAAGGCAUGAAUCAUUUAUUGUAGCUGUUUAUACAGCAGCACCUGUCUGCAGUGGAAAGAAAUCACACGGCCAUUCUUGGUGACUUCAAUGACAAUUUACUGUGAAGUGAGGAAAACAAAAGAUUCCAUGAUUAUUAAUGAGAAAUGGCUAUGAACAGUUCAUGAGGCUCCUAUGACUGUGAAAGGCACUUUCAUUGAUCAUUCAUGGAGUAACAAAGAUAAAAACACUUCAUUAUCGUCAUCCCGAUGAUAAACAAUUAGGGUGCUGUGUUGACCAUAUUUGUAUUUUGCCAUUGCCAUCAAAUGUGAGCUGUGGGGUUAUACAGACAUUUGAAAGUUACCAUGAUGCUGUUUACGCUGUAUGAAUGAUGCCGCAAUAAGCUGUGAAAAGGUACAAUGGCAUGAAGCACUUUGAAUUUGUAUCAAUCCCGUCACUGGUUAGCUUUGAACUGGGAGAGGGACUCCGCCUUUGCCACACUAGGCUCAAGUUUAUUCUACUCUUUGAUGGUACGAGGGAAGAAUGAGAGCCUGUAGUAGUUGGUCUUACACAUGAUGGUCUGCAGCUUGAGGGCAAUUGAUUAGUGCGGCGGGAGGAUCGAGCUGCUGGGACGUGACAAGAGGUUAGGGGGACUGAGAUCAUUAGGUGUUGUGCAGGAUUUUGAACAUGGUGGUCAGCCUAGCUGUUUUGCAGCGUUGAGAGAGUGGCUGCCAUCCCAGAUCUCUGAGCAUUGCUGUCACGGAGGCCGUGUGUUUGUAGCUGUUACAUACAUACCUGGCUGCUCUACACUGCACCCUGCUCACCUAUUCGGCAGUAUGGGGAUCCCAUACCGAGGAGGCAUACUCCAAAGACAAUCUCACAAGUGCCAUGUAUGCACGUCCUUAAAGGUCAUUAUUGUACUGAUCAGGGAGUAGGGAGGAAAACUACAAGCUUGUCCGGUGAUUGGGACAUGGGUGGAAAACCACAAGCUUGUCCAGUGAUUAGGACAUGGGUGGAAAACCACAAGCUUGUCCAGUGAUUGGGACAUGGGUGGAAAACCACAAGCUUGUCCAGUGAUUGGGACAUGGGUGGAAAACCACAAGCUUGUCCAGUGAUUGGGACAUGGGUGGAAAAAGUAACCCCUGGUGAAUGGGGUAAAGACCCCGGUGAAUGAGGUAGAGAGGAAUGAAGAAAAAUAAUUUUAAAAAGAGGAAAUGAGUGAAAAAAAAUUGAAAAAAUAAUAAUAAUGACAAGAAAUAAAUAACGACAUCAACAAAUGCUCUCUCUUUUGAUGGUUAUAUUUUCACUCCAUACCAUAGGUAUUUUUUAUGUAAUCUUCUAUUUUUUUUUCAUUUCAGGAAUGGGCAAAUACCACAGAUGUUUUUCUUUUUUUUUUGAUGCAGCUCUAUUAAUUCUUUUAUUUCAUCUCAUUGUUAUGUGCCUUCUUACUCUCAUGUUUCAACUUUAAAAGCUUUCCCCCUGUAAUACCAUGUUUACAGGUGUUUAUUACUGCAUUAAUGACUAUGUGGCAUUGCAUGGCGGAGUGUUCGGCCCUCAAGCAAGGGGACCCGGUUGCGUCCAGCCAGAAGUGUGGUGGUGAGUGGGGGAGCGACUACACCAACAGGGGCGUCUUCUACAUCGACUUUGGCGGGCUCUGGGGCCGGUAUGUCGGAGUAAGCCUCCCCGGGCCAGCGGGAAUACUUACGCUGUGUGAAGUGGAGGUGUAUGUAGAUGGGACCUCACCUAGGGAAGGAAGCAAAGAGUCCUGGAGAAACUGACCGGACAGGAACCAGACAGAAGAGGACCCAGCCAUCCACAAAGGAAUACAGCAGAUUGCAUCCAAUUCUAGGAACGCUUGUACAAUAUUUUUCCAGUAAAUUUUCAAUAGGUUUAAAUUCAAUGAAUUUUCUUGAUCUUACAUUAUCAUAUAGCAAGAUUGCGAUGACCAAAGGCCCCCAUUUCCUAUUGGUUAUGUCAGCAUAAUGGCCGAGCGGUCAUUAAUGUCGCCGGUGAUGUCAUAUGUCAUGGUGAAUUGCGCUUAACUUUUGCAGAGGCCUAGCAUGUCUUUUGUUGAUGAAUUAUGAAUGGGGGAGGGUGCCACAGAUUAGGUUAUUAUUAAGCAUUGUAUAAGGGCAAUCUUUGCACCUUGCAGCAUUUCUUUCCAGCCUCUUUACAUGAGGUAUGUCAGAAGAUAGACUAGCUGGAAAUAAUUAGGAAGGCAAAACACUUGCAAGCAAUGUAUUUUGGGAAAAAAUUAUUGUUAUCAAACUUAGCUUAGUUGCAUCGCAACUGUUAUAUGUGCUGGGUGCACUAACACCUCCAGAUACAUGUCUCAAUAAUGUUAUUAUUCUUUAAAUUUCUAUGGAAAAAAGACAAAGUCAAUCGUAAGGUUUUGAUGAAGUGCAGGUUUUCGUUUACUAUCAUGAAAGUCCAUCUGUGUUGGUAGUUACAUGUUUAAAGUUAAAACUUUUCGUCCAACACAAAAAAAUACUCUCACCUAGAGCUUUCGACCAGUCACUCUGGUCUUCCUCAGUAGACAAUAGUAAGGAAAAGAUAUAAUAAAACAAGCCCUUUUGGUGGUAGAAAUGUAAUAAAAAAACUUUUAUUCUCUCCAAAGAUACAUUGACAAUACAAGUAUUGGCAGGUUUCUUCUUUGGAGGACUACUACUUACACUGGUAACAACAAACUUGUAAGAAUGUUUAGGUUCAACUUCAAGUCCUGACUUACAAGCCCUUUUGGUGGUAGAAAUGUAAUAAAAAAACUUUUAUUCUCUCCAAAGAUACAUUGACAAUACAAGUAUUGGCAGGUUUCUUUGGUGGACUACUACUUACACUAACAACAAACUUGUAAGAAUGUUUAGGUUCAACUUCAAGUCCUGACUUACAAGCCCUUUUGGUGGUAGAAAUGUAAUAAAAAAACUUUUAUUCUCUCCAAAGAUACAUUGACAAUACAAGUAUUGGCAGGUUUCUUUGGUGGACUACUACUUACACUGGUAACAACAAACUUGUAAGAAUGUUCAGGUUCAACUUCAAGUCCUGACUUACAAGCCCUUUUGGUGGUAGAAAUGUAAUAAAAAAACUUUUAUUCUCUCCAAAGAUACAUUGACAAUACAAGUAUUGGCAGGUUUCUUUGGUGGACUACUACUUACACU